UACGUAGGGUGCAAGCGUUGUUCGGAAUCAUUGGGCGUAAAGCGCGUGUAGGUGGUUAGAUAAGUCGAUUGUGAAAUCCCUGGGCUCAACCGAGGAAGUGCAGUCGAAACUAUCUAGCUAGAGGACGGCAGAGGAAGGUGGAAUUCCAAGUGUAGAGGUGAAAUUCGUAGAUAUUUGGAGGAAUACCUGUGGCGAAGGCGGCCUUCUGGACCGGUCCUGGACACUGAGACGCGAAAGCGUGGGGAGCAAACAGG
rnacentral:rRNA from 1 species